AUGAAAUAAACACUUGGAAUUCACUUUAGAAUGCAGAAUCAACUUUUAAAUACAAAGGGAAGAUUCAUGCAACACUUAGGGCCGAAUUCAAUGUUUUAGACCCUUUCUUUAACAAACAACACUUUAGAGCUCUUUUUCAUACUCUUUUCAAUUCUUUUUUCACUCUUUUCACAACUCUUUUUUUCUCUUUUUUUUUCUUUUCUACCCGUGCCUUAUUAAGGACUUUGGCACACACACACACAGAAGAAUCACUUCCCCCACACUUGCUUUCUGCAAUACAUUGAUCAAAAAUGAGUUCAUUUUAAGUCAUGCUUUACUAUGCUUGAAGAACAAGGGUAUGGAUGGUCCUAAAACUAGUGUGGGUUAACAAAGAACAUAGGCUUAACAAGGCUCAACGGGGUUAAACUUAAAUGCAUAAUGAAAUAGGGGCACGACAUUUUGGCUUUGGUGGUCACUACACAACUUCAUCUUUAAUAUGUGUUAUGCAAAUCAAUAGCAUGCUUUGAAUGAAAUAGGCAUGAGUUCUAGCAUUUGGAACUAAAUGAUGAAACACCUUCUAAGUAGCAACCAAGCAAAGAAUAAUGAGAUCAUGCAACGAAUUUAGAAAACAAUGAUGCACAGAUUAUUAACUCUCCAAAUAAAUGUUUAGGCUCAAGUAUCACAAGGUUGUAGCGUUCAUUUGAGUUCCUUCCUUCAAGCAUGUUACAAAAACUGAUUUUUCCUUUAUGAUUGCAUGUGAAUUCAUAAAUUAUAACCACAACCAAGCAUACACCAAAGAGUGAAUCAAAUUUGCAUCCAUGUUUAUAACUCUCUUUAACAGUCAUGUAAUUAAAAACCAAAUCCUCAUCAUUGUGUUAGAAGGUACCCUAAGACACAAACAAACACACAAAAACAACUCUUUUUGGGUUUUUCAAAACAAUUUUUCAAAUUUUUAUGAGAUUUUCGGAUUUUUAUGUCAAAACACACUAAAACACUCCAAAACAGCUUAAAAACACUUAAAACAGCAAGGAACAACACUAGAAGUAAUGGGUGAUAAACUUCCACAAAUUUCAUGCAAAACAACUUGGUUACCCCCCCCCCCUCACACUUAAAUCAAACAUUGUCCUCAAUGUUUCAAGCAUAAACUCACACAAAAACAAGCAAACAAACAAACAACGAAUAAACAUGACAAGUAUGGCAAAGUAAAAACAAGACAGAGUAGAGUUUAAGAACGCAAAUCUGGUUAUGGAGAUAGAUGAUUUUGUUGACUUUCCACAGCUUUGAUCUCGAACUGGUUUGGAAUUCUGAGUGAGGAAUAUGAGAGUUCCUUGGUUUCAAAUCAGACUCCUUCUGCUGGGUUGAUUUGAUUGUGCAGUUUGCAUUCUUCUCUACUUGUUUCUUCUGCACGGCAGGCAGGCACAAG
rnacentral:lncRNA from 1 species